rnacentral:rRNA from 1 species
GAUGAACGCUGGCGGCGUGCCUAAUACAUGCCAGUCGAGCGAACAGACGAGGAGCUUGCUCCUCUGACGUUAGCGGCGGACGGGUGAGUAACACGUGGAUAACCUACCUAUAAGACUGGGAUAACUUCGGGAAACCGGAGCUAAUACCGGAUAAUAUAUUGAACCGCAUGGUUCAAUAGUGAAAGACGGUUUUGCUGUCACUUAUAGAUGGAUCCGCGCCGCAUUAGCUAGUUGGUAAGGUAACGGCUUACCAAGGCAACGAUGCGUAGCCGACCUGAGAGGGUGAUCGGCCACACUGGAACUGAGACACGGUCCAGACUCCUACGGGAGGCAGCAGUAGGGAAUCUUCCGCAAUGGGCGAAAGCCUGACGGAGCAACGCCGCGUGAGCGAUGAAGGUCUUCGGAUCGUAAAACUCUGUUAUUAGGGAAGAACAAAUGUGUAAGUAACUAUGCACGUCUUGACGGUACCUAAUCAGAGAGCCACGGCUAACUACGUG